GAUGAACGCUGGCGGCGUGCCUAAUACAUGCAAGUCGAGCGAACAGAUGAGGAGCUUGCUCCUCUGACGUUAGCGGCGGACGGGUGAGUAACACGUGGAUAACCUACCUAUAAGACUGUGAUAACUUCGGGAAACCGGAGCUAAUACCGGAUAAUAUAUUGAACCGCAUGGUUCAAUAGUGAAAGACGGUUUUGCUGUCACUUAUAGAUGGAUCCGCGCCGCAUUAGCUAGUUGGUAAGGUAACGGCUUACCAAGGCAACGAUGCGUAGCCGACCUGAGAGGGUGAUCGGCCACACUGGAACUGAGACACGGUCCAGACUCCUACGGGAGGCAGCAGUAGGGAAUCUUCCGCAAUGGGCGAAAGCCUGACGGAGCAACGCCGCGUGAGUGAUGAAGGUCUCCGGAUCGUAAAACUCUGUUAUUAGGGAAGAACAAAUGUGUAAGUAACUAUGCACGUCUUGACGGUACCUAAUCAGAAAGCCACGGCUAACUACGUG
rnacentral:rRNA from 1 species